UACGAGGGGGGCGAGCGUUGUUCGGAAUUAUUGGGCGUAAAGGGUGCGUAGGCGGUUUGGUAAGUCUGAUGUGAAAUCUAUGGGCUCAACUCAUAGUCUGCAUCGGAAACUGCCGGGCUUGAGUAUGGGAGAGGUGAGUGGAAUUCCUGGUGUAGCGGUGAAAUGCGCAGAUAUCAGGAGGAACACCAAUUGCGAAGGCAGCUCGCUGGGACGUUACUGACGCUGAGACGCGAAAGCGUGGGGAGCAAACAGG
rnacentral:rRNA from 1 species